ACGAACGCUGGCGGCAUGCCUAACACAUGCAAGUCGUACGAAGGCUUCGGCCUUAGUGGCGCACGGGUGAGUAACACGUGGGAACCUGCCUUUCGGUUCGGGAUAACGUCUGGAAACGGACGCUAACACCGGAUACGCCCUUAGGGGGAAAGUUUACGCCGAGAGAGGGGCCCGCGUCCGAUUAGGUAGUUGGUGGGGUAACGGCCUACCAAGCCGACGAUCGGUAGCUGGUCUGAGAGGAUGAUCAGCCACACUGGGACUGAGACACGGCCCAGACUCCUACGGGAGGCAGCAGUGGGGAAUAUUGGACAAUGGGCGCAAGCCUGAUCCAGCAAUGCCGCGUGAGUGAUGAAGGCCUUAGGGUUGUAAAGCUCUUUCGCACGCGACGAUGAUGACGGUAGCGUGAGAAGAAGCCCCGGCUAACUUCGU
rnacentral:rRNA from 1 species